rnacentral:rRNA from 1 species
AUUGAACGCUGGCGGCAGGCCUAACACAUGCAAGUCGGACGGUAGCACAGAGAGCUUGCUCUCGGGUGACGAGUGGCGGACGGGUGAGUAAUGUCUGGGGAUCUGCCCGAUAGAGGGGGAUAACCACUGGAAACGGUGGCUAAUACCGCAUAACGUCGCAAGACCAAAGAGGGGACCUUCGGGCCUCUCACUAUCGGAUGAACCCAGAUGGGAUUAGCUAGUAGGCGGGGUAAUGGCCCACCUAGGCGACGAUCCCUAGCUGGUCUGAGAGGAUGACCAGCCACACUGGAACGGAGACACGGUCCAGACUCCUACGGGAGGCAGCAGUGGGGAAUAUUGCACAAUGGGCGCAAGCCUGAUGCAGCCAUGCCGCGUGUAUGAAGAAGGCCUUCGGGUUGUAAAGUACUUUCAGCGGGGAGGAAGGCGAUGCGGUUAAUAACCGUGUCGAUUGACGUUACCCGCAGAAGAAGCACCGGCUAACUCCGUGCCAGCCGCCGCCGUAA